AAGUACAUAUGCGUGCAUAAAUAUACUCGGCUACUACCAGUGUAUUAUAGCUGCAUUUACCUUGAUUCUACAUGCUUCAGGUAGUCUAGAAUAUCAAAUUGUUGUAUAUAUUUAACACCUUCUGUACCAUCAAAUUCAGAAAUGCACUCAAGAAAAGGCUUUUCAAAACUCUUAGAAUGUAUUCCAAGAGCAGUGCACAUAUUCAUAAGCUAAUUAUGUAAUUUCUUAUAUGUUGCUUUGAGGCAAAUUGAGCAGGGAUUUGUUUGGCUUCCAAAUGGUUUGUUGGUCCUAAAAUAGUCAGAAUCACAUGACAUCUGUGCUAUAGAUAUGGACCUUGGUGGUUUUCUCCACAUUAGGAAAGCUGGAAGAGCCUUUUGAACUCAUUUUUUUUGCUAACAGUGGUGUUAUGGUGAAACAAAGUUUUGUGUGUAUGUACCAACAGCUAAAAUGUAAACACGACAUUAUCAUACUUGAGUACAGGAAUAAUUAUCUCUUAUAUCUUAUUGCAA